rnacentral:rRNA from 1 species
CAGCACAGAGAAGCUUGCUUCUUGGGUGGCGAGUGGCGAACGGGUGAGUAACAUAUCGGAACGUACCGAGCAGUGGGGGAUAACUAAUCGAAAGAUUAGCUAAUACCGCAUAUAUUCUGAGGAAGAAAGCAGGGGACCAUUUGGCCUUGCGCUGUUUGAGCGGCCGAUAUCUGAUUAGCUAGUUGGUGGGGUAAAGGCCUACCAAGGCGACGAUCAGUAGCGGGUCUGAGAGGAUGAUCCGCCACACUGGGACUGAGACACGGCCCAGACUCCUACGGGAGGCAGCAGUGGGGAAUUUUGGACAAUGGGCGCAAGCCUGAUCCAGCCAUGCCGCGUGUCUGAAGAAGGUCCUUCGGGUUGUAAAGGACUUUUGUCAGGGAAGAAAAGGGUGGGGUUAAUACCCCUGUCUGAUGACGUACCUGAAGAAUAAGCCCCGCA